rnacentral:rRNA from 1 species
GACGAACGCUGGCGGCGUGCUUAACACAUGCAAGUCGAACGGAAAGGCCCUGCUUUUGUGGGGUGCUCGAGUGGCGAACGGGUGAGUAACACGUGAGUAACCUGCCCUUGACUUUGGGAUAACUUCAGGAAACUGGGGCUAAUACCGGAUAGGAGCCCCUGCUGCAUGGUGGGGGUUGGAAAGUUUCGGCGGUUGGGGAUGGACUGGCGGCUUAUCAGCUUGUUGGUGGGGUAGUGGCUUACCAAGGCUUUGACGGGUAGCCGGCCUGAGAGGGUGACCGGCCACAUUGGGACUGAGAUACGGCCCAGACUCCUACGGGAGGCAGCAGUGGGGAAUAUUGCACAAUGGGCGGAAGCCUGAUGCAGCAACGCCGCGUGCGGGAUGACGUCCUUCGGGUUGUAAACCGCUUUCGCCUGUGACGAAGCGUGAGUGACGGUAAUGGGUAAAGAAGCACCGGCUAACUACGUG